rnacentral:rRNA from 1 species
UACGAAGGGGGCUAGCGUUGUUCGGAAUUACUGGGCGUAAAGCGCACGUAGGCGGAUAUUUAAGUCAGGGGUGAAAUCCCGGGGCUCAACCCCGGAACUGCCUUUGAUACUGGGUAUCUCGAGUCCGAGAGAGGUGAGUGGAAUUCCGAGUGUAGAGGUGAAAUUCGUAGAUAUUCGGAGGAACACCAGUGGCGAAGGCGGCUCGCUGGGACGUUACUGACGCUGAGACGCGAAAGCGUGGGGAGCAAACAGG